rnacentral:rRNA from 1 species
CAGCAGCCGCGGUAAUACGUAGGGUGCAAGCGUUAAUCGGAAUUACUGGGCGUAAAGCGUGCGCAGGCGGUCCGCUAAGACAGAUGUGAAAUCCCCGGGCUUAACCUGGGAACUGCAUUUGUGACUGGCGGGCUAGAGUAUGGCAGAGGGGGGUAGAAUUCCACGUGUAGCAGUGAAAUGCGUAGAGAUGUGGAGGAAUACCGAUGGCGAAGGCAGCCCCCUGGGCCAAUACUGACGCUCAUGCACGAAAGCGUGGGGAGCAAACAGGAUUAGAUACCCGUGUAGUCCCUGUCUCUUAUAA